UAUGAACGAGUUUAAACGAGAAGGGAUUAAAGCCAAUGAAAUGACAAGUUAUUAUGGCAAUCUUCUAAUUUGGAUUUUCGUUUCCAGUAUCCUUUAGAAUUUGAUGAUUCAUUUUUCAUUGAUUUAAUUCAAGAGAGUUUCUUCAGAUGAUAUUUGUCUUUCAAUGAAACAUCCUAAAUAAUUUAUUGGAGAAAUUUCAAUAUAUUUCAUAUUCUGCACCGCAGACAUUGACCACCCUUGUGAUAGCCAAUUGUGGUUUAAUGAACAAGUGCUGGGGGAACUGUGAAUUUCAAAGUGUGUCGUGAUGCGUUGGAAUCCUUAACAAUGAGAAUUUCUGUGCAUUAAAGAAAGCAAUGAAAGAUGUAAUAUAUUUUAUUAAUUGAUUCACAGGUACUUUUGAUCAGUCUUUAAUUGAUAUUUCUUAAGGAAUUUCACAGGUCUGUCUUUGAAUUAAUCAUUGGCAUAUUUCCUUUUAUUAUUUUUUUUUAUAAAUGAACAAUCUAUAGUAUUACUAAAAAUAUACAAUUGGAAUGUUCCAGUUUUAUUUGAAAGAUUCCAAAAGGACAGAAGAUGAAUUAAUAUUCUUACAAUUCUAGGGAUUCAGUUACAAAAGCUACUUUAUCAUGGAGUUACAAAAUAAAGAAGGGUGUCAUUUCCGACAGGCCAUUCGUGUACCUGGAAUAACAGGAAAGCAUAAAUCAGGAGGAAUUUCAUUCUUGUCCAUCAAUGGAAAGUAUACCUGAAAGAACUUAUGAUGAUACAAUUCAAUUCCAUCCUUUAACCAGGUGAUCUCAGGCCUUGGAAAUCCGGUAGCCAUGCAGAAGAACGUGAUCUUCCUACCGAGCAUGUAAUCUAACUCAAAUAAUUGGCACUAGCAGGAUUUCUAUGAGGAAUUAGAAUAGGCAUCCGUGAUUUGUAUACUCUUCCAC